UGGGGAAUUUUGGACAAUGGGGGAAACCCUGAUCCAGCCAUCUCGCGUGUGCGAUGAAGGCCUUCGGGUUGUAAAGCACUUUUGGCAGGAAAGAAACGUCAUGGGUUAAUACCCCGUGAAACUGACGGUACCUGCAGAAUAAGCACCGGCUAACUACGUGCCAGCAGCCGCGGUAAUACGUAGGGUGCAAGCGUUAAUCGGAAUUACUGGGCGUAAAGCGUGCGCAGGCGGUUCGGAAAGAAAGAUGUGAAAUCCCAGAGCUCAACUUUGGAACUGCAUUUUUAACUACCGGGCUAGAGUGUGUCAGAGGGAGGUGGAAUUCCGCGUGUAGCAGUGAAAUGCGUAGAUAUGCGGAGGAACACCGAUGGCGAAGGCAGCCUCCUGGGAUAACACUGACGCUCAUGCACGAAAGCGUGGGGAGCAAACAGG
rnacentral:rRNA from 1 species